GAUGAACGCUAGCGGUGUGCCUAAUGCAUGCAAGUCGAACGGGAUCCUUGGAUUCGUCUGAGGUGAGAGUGGCGGACGGGUGAGUAACACGUAGGUGACCUGCCCCGGAGAGGGGGACAACCACUGGAAACGGUGGCUAAUACCCCAGAUGUUAUUGCGCUUAGAAAGCAAUUACUAAAGCUCUGGCGCUCCGGGAGGGGCCUGCGGCCCAUCAGCUUGUUGGUAGGGUAAUGGCCUACCAAGGCUAAGACGGGUAGGGGGCGUGAGAGCGUGACCCCCCACACUGGUACUGAGAUACGGACCAGAUACCUGCGGGUAGCAGCAGCAAGGAAUAUUGCCCAAUGGACGAAAGUCUGAGGCAGCAACGCCGCGUGGAGGAUGAAGGCCUUCGGGUUGUAAACUUCUUUUCUGGGGGAAGAGAAAGGACGGUACCCCAGGAAUAAGUCUCGGCUAACUACGUG
rnacentral:rRNA from 1 species